UUUGAAAACAGAGUUUUGCUAUUUGCAAAGGGUGUUUUGCUUUUUGAAAAGGGAGUUUUGCUAUAUUUGAAAAGGGAGUUUUGCUAUUUGAAAAGGGAGUUUUACUAUUUGAAAAGAGAGUUUUAAUGCUAUUUGCAAAGGGUGUUUUGCUAUUUGAAAAGGGAGUUUUGCUAUUUGAAAUGGGAGUUUUUCUAUUUGAAAAGGGAGUUUUGCUAUUUGAAAAGGGUGUUUUGCUAUUUGAAAAGGGAGUUUUGCUAUUUGCAAAGGGUGUUUUGCUAUUUGAAAAGAGAGUUUUGCUAUUUGAAAAGAGAGUUUUGCUAUUUGCAAAGGGUGUUUUGCUAUUUGAAAAGGGAGUUUUGCUAUAUUUGAAAAGGGAGUUUUGCUAUUUGAAAAGGGAGUUUUACUAUUUGAAAAGAGAGUUUUGCUAUUUGCAAAGCCGGUGUUUUGCUAUUUGAAAAGGGAGUUUUGCUAUAUUUGAAAAGGGAGUUUUGCUAUUUGAAAAGGGAGUUUUGCUAUAUUUGAAAAGGGUGUUUUGCUAUUUGAAAAAGGAGUUUUGCUUUUGAAAAGGGUGUUUUGCUAUUUGAAAAGGGUGUUUUGCUAUUUGAAAGGGAGUUCUUGCGUUUGAGUU
rnacentral:lncRNA from 1 species